rnacentral:rRNA from 1 species
AUUGAACGCUGGCGGCAGGCCUAACACAUGCAAGUCGAACGAGUGGCGGACGGGUGAGUAAUGUCUGGGAAACUGCCCGAUGGAGGGGGAUCACUACUGGAAACGGUAGCUAAUACCGCAUACCCUAGGAUGUGCCCAGAUGGGAUUAGCUAGUAGGUGGGGUAACGGCGCACCUAGGCGACGAUCCCUAGCUGGUCUGAGAGGAUGACCGGCCACACUGGAACUGAGACACGGUCCAGACUCCUACGGGAGGCAGCAGUGGGGAAGAUUGCACAAUGGGCGCAAGCCUGAUGCAGCCAUGCCGCGUGUAUGAAGAAGGCAUUCGGGUUGUAAAGUACUUUCAGCGGGGAGGCGUUACCCACAGAAGAAGCACCGGCUAACUCCGUGCCAGCAGCCGCGGUAAUAC